GCUACAAGGACUCCAGUGUCGCCCUGAUGGCUCCUUCACUCCCCUUCAGUGUGAUGUCACUUCCUGCUGGUGUGUCUCCGAGAAUGGACAAGAAGUGGGCGGGACGAGAACAUCUCGACAGACAGGCCGCACACCAUCAUGUGACCGUCCCCUGUGCCCCGCCCCCAUCAUUACCCAUGGUGCGCUGGUGUGCCGCCCACCAGCUGAUGGACGCCAGAGCUGUGACCUUGCUUGUUACCAUGGCUACCAGAACUCACUUGCUAUCAGCAGUUUCCUGUGUGAGACUGCGAGUCGGAGAUGGGAUAGAGACCAGAAGCCGCUGAGCGGAGCCUGUCAAAUCUCUCGGCCUCCGCAGUCCGUGUCCUCCACGCAGCUCUGGGUGUUGCCCUCGUCCUGCUCUCAGAUCAGCCGGUUACAGUCUCUGCUGUUCAACACAAUGACCAGCAGGGGGCUCUGUUCU